AUGGGCAGCCAUGAUCUGCAGGUGUCAAGUUGGGUUCAUAAAUUGUGAAGUCAGCAGGAUGAGAACCGCCAGCACAUGAAACUGGUGAUAAGCUACUGUUUGGUGUAUUUGAAUCAAUUGAACCAAAAGCAUCUGAACCAACUGCAGACAAUACUGAUGUUGGAGAUUGGUUUUCUUGUUCUGAAAUUGAAAAGUUUGGGGAUGAAGACUGCAGUGGCUGCUCUGGAAUUGAGGGUUCUUU
rnacentral:misc_RNA from 1 species